rnacentral:rRNA from 1 species
UACGGAGGAUCCAAGCGUUAUCCGGAUUUAUUGGGCGUAAAGGGCUCGUAGGCGGACCGGUGUGUCUGGCGUGAAAUCUCCACUGCUUAACAGGGAGGGGCCGCUGGAAACUGCCGAUCUUGAGUAUGGUAGAGGACCAUGGAAUUCCGGGUGUAGCGGUGGAAUGCGUAGAUAUCCGGAAGAACACCGGUGGCGAAGGCGGUGGUCUGGACCAAAACUGACGCUGAGGAGCGAAAGCCAGGGGAGCAAACGGG